CAAGAGUGAACACGGGGUAGGGCACCCUUGGACAAAAGCCCACAAUUGAGGGACAUUAAUGGGCAUUCAGUGAGUGGUAGCGAGCGAAUCAUGCUCGAAAUCCCCCGAAGUGGUGGGGGCCAACCCGGGGCCAACCACAGCUGAAGGGACGGACUGGGGUAGCAAGAAAGCGGAGUCCACCUUUGAAAGUGAUGCUAAUGAGCAUCUGCUUGUUUUUCGACCCACCAAUCUCCUCUGUUGACAACGACAAGCUGUGAAAAAUGUGGAUCACUCAAGUCCAUAGGGAUUAUCUUGACAAGCCGAGGAAUUCUUGAUAUGUGACAUUCAUACUACUGAAUCUAGAGCAUUCAGCAUCGGAUUAGAGCUUUCAAAUAGUGGCCCUUACUCGUGAUGUGCGAUGGCUGAUGUCGACGUGUACAGUACAUACAGCUCUGUGAUUUCGAGGCUUGCUUCUUCUUUUUCUUCAGGAGGAGAUUCGACCAUAACGGCCUCUGAAGAAGGCUCAAUUGAAUCUUGAUGAAAACGCAUUCGAGGCCAAGCUGCAACACUGUAACGUGAGUUCGAAGAAGACAAGAUGAAUUGAAGAUUCGAAGGAAAACAUACAAGUUCGAGCUAAGAAGAAAGAAGUGGCGAGAAAAAGAAGAAAAAAGAAAAUAUGAAAACGUAGCAAAACAGAGUAAAACAGUCAUUUUAAGGGUUGAGAUAUAAUUUUAUUUGGUGCAUGGAGUGAUUUGUUGUUCGAUUGUCUAUGCUUAUGUGUUUAUUGUACAAUAUGAUAAAGAUUGUCGGUAAAAAUAUUGC